GGGGGCGAAAUAGGAUCGACGUGCGCAGUAAAGGUCUGGUUUGCGUUCGGCAUGAUACCACCGUUAUCGGGUCAAUCCUAACAAGUGCCAACGACAACGUUGAACUUGCCGCUGCGGCUUAGUCCGUAAGCGCGGUCCGGGGGGAACCGGGCAACAGAACUCCCCCCACU
rnacentral:tmRNA from 1 species